GAUGUCACUGUGAGCGAAACUUUAAUGUGUGUGACCCAGGAUGGCAUCUACAGUCUCUAUGCAGAGAGAGAUGGCUGGCUCCACGGAGAGAUGUCCUGGCCUUCCCUUCUCUUCUCCAUAAGAUACCACAGCCUUCCUACAGUCAGUGGGAGCUACAUAUACGACCCACUAUGGGAUGAAGUGGCACCCUCACCAGCAGGCCUUUGGCAGCUCCGAGGACCAAGUCAAGCCAGGAGAGCAAAAUAGUUGGUCUGGAUGUGGCUGAGGUGGCGAGCGAGACUACGUUCCAGUUCCCCUUGGCUCAAGACUUCUUGUAUUGCAGAAAUCAAUUUGUAAACCUUCUUUCCAUCACUUGCAGCCCAAAGCCCUAGGUAAACCUGG
rnacentral:lncRNA from 1 species